rnacentral:rRNA from 1 species
UACGUAGGGGGCAAGCGUUGUCCGGAUUUAUUGGGCGUAAAGAGCGCGUAGGCGGCCAUACAAGUCUGCUGUGAAAACUCGAGGCUCAACCUCGAGCUGUCGGUGGAAACUGUCUGGCUAGAGUCCGGAAGAGGAGAGUGGAAUUCCUGGUGUAGCGGUGAAAUGCGCAGAUAUCAGGAGGAACACCGGUGGCGAAGGCGGCAUCCUGGACCAACACUGACGCUGAGGAGCGAAAGCCAGGGGAGCAAACGGG